AACUUUUGACAACGGAUCACUUGGUUCCGGCAUCGAUGAAGAACGCAGCGAAAUGCGAUACGUAAUGUGAAUUGCAGAAUUCAGUGAAUCAUCGAGUCUUUGAACGCACAUUGCGCCCUCUGGUAUUCCGGAGGGCAUGCCUGUCCGAGCGUCAUUGCUGCCCUCAAGCACGGCUUGUGUGUUGGGCUCCGUCCCCCGAUCCCGGGGGACGAGCCCGAAAGGCAGCGGCGGCACCGCGUCCGGUCCUCGAGCGUAUGGGGCUUUGUCACCCGCUCUGUAGGCCCGGCCGGCGCCUGCCGAUCAACCAAAUUUUUAUCCAGGUUGACCUCGGAUCAGGUAGGGAUACCCGCUGAACUUAAGCAUAUCAAUAAGCGGAGGCU
rnacentral:misc_RNA from 1 species